rnacentral:rRNA from 1 species
AAAAUGCGCGGAUGUGGCGGAAUUGGCAGACGCACUAGACUUAGGAUCUAGCGCCAUUGGCGUGGGGGUUCGACUCCCUUCAUCCGCACCAUUUUUGUUUGAUAUACAUAUAUAAAUUGUGGGUGCAUAGCUCAGCUGGAUAGAGCAACGCCCUUCUAAGGCGUGUGUCCGGGGUUCGAAUCCCUGUGCGCUCUAUAUUUGAAUUAUUUUUAUUUUAAAUAUAGUUAGGUUCAAUUUUAGAAUAAGUUUAAGUAUCCGAAUGUGGAGAGGUGUCCGAGUGGUUUAAGGAGCUGGUCUUGAAAACCAGUGACUUCGAAAGGGGCCGUGGGUUCGAAUCCCACCCUCUCCGCCAAAUGCCCAGAUAGCUCAGUCGGUAGAGCAGGGGACUGAAAAUCCCCGUGUCGGUGGUUCGAUUCCGCCUCUGGGCACCAAAAUAUGGCGGUAUAGCUUAGUUGGCUAGAGCGUUCGGUUCAUACCCGAAAGGUCAUAGGUUCGACUCCUAUUACCGCUACUAAAAUUUAAUGUGGGCCAUUAGCUCAGUUGGUUAGAGCGCCCGGCUCAUAACCGGUAGGUCUGGGGUUCGAGUCCCUGAUGGCCCACCACAUUAAAUUAAUUAAUAUAAAUUCGAGGUGUAGCGCAGUUUGGUAGCGCACAUGGUUUGGGACCAUGGGGCCGGGGGUUCGAGUCCCUUCACCUCGACCAAUAUAAGGUGGGUAUAGCUCAGUUGGUUAGAGCGCCAGAUUGUGGCUCUGGAGGUCGUGAGUUCGACUCUCAUUAUCCACCCCAAUUCAUAUGGUCUAUUAGCUCAGUCGGUAGAGCACCUGACUUUUAAUCAGGGUGUCCCGCGUUCGAGUCGCGGAUAGAUCACCAAAAAGGUGGCGACAUAGCCAAGUGGUAAGGCAGUGGACUGCAACUCCUUGAUCCCCAGUUCGAAUCUGGGUGUCGCCUCCAAAAUAUUCCAAGGUAGCUCAACGGUGGAGCAACCGGCUGUUAACCGGUAGGCUGUGGGUUCGAGCCCCACCCUUGGAGCCAAAAAAGCCGAAGUGGCGGAACUGGCAGACGCACAGGACNNNNNNNNNNNNNNUUGACUGGGGCGGUCGCCUCCCAAAAGGUAACGGAGGCGCUCAAAGGUUCUCUCAGUACGGUCGGAAAUCGUACGUAGAGUGUAAAGGCAAAAGAGAGCUUGAUUGCAAGACAUACAGGUCGAGCAAGGAUGAAAAUCGGACUUAGUGAUCCGGUGGUUCUGCGUGGAAGGGCCAUCGCUCAACGGAUAAAAGCUACCCUGGGGAUAACAGGCUUAUCUCCCCCAAGAGUCCACAUCGACGGGGAGGUUUGGCACCUCGAUGUCGGCUCAUCACAUCCUGGGGCUGUAGUAGGUCCCAAGGGUUGGGCUGUUCGCCCAUUAAAGUGGUACGCGAGCUGGGUUCAGAACGUCGUGAGACAGUUCGGUCCCUAUCCGUCGCAGGCGUAGGAAAUUUGAGAAGACCUGUCCUUAGUACGAGAGGACCGGGAUGGACGUACCUCUGGUGUACCAGUUGUCCUGCCAAGGGCAUGGCUGGGUAGCUAUGUACGGAAUGGAUAAGCGCUGAAAGCAUCUAAGCGCGAAGCCAACUUCAAGAUAAGAUUUCCCACCGCAAGGGUAAGACCCCAGAAAGACUAUCUGGUUGAUAGGUCGAAGGUGUAAGUGCAGCAAUGUAUUUAGCUUAUCGAUACUAAUAGGUCGAGGACUUGACC